GCUGGCGGCGUGCCUAACACAUGCAAGUCGAACGCCCUACGCAAGUAGGGAGUGGCGGACGGGUGAGUAACACGUGGGUAUCUACCUUAAGGUGAGGAAUACCAACGAGAAAUCGUUGACAAUACCGCAUGUGCUUCUUCGGAAGCAAAGCUUCUCGUUUUGAGAGGCGCCUUAAGAUGAGCCUGCGCCUGAUUAUGCUAGUUGGUGGGGUAAAAGCCUACCAAGGCGACGAUCAGUAGCUAGUCUGAGAGGAUGAUCAGCCACACUGGGAUUGAGAACGGCCCAGACUCCUACGGGAGGCAGCAGUGAGGAAUUUUCCGCAAUGGACGAAAGUCUGACGGAGCAACGCCGCGUGCAGGAGGAAGGUCUUCGGAUCGUAAACUGCUUUUACCGGGGAAGAGAAUGGACGGUACCUGGUGAAUAAGUCCCGGCUAACUACGUGCCAGCAGCCGCGGUAAUACGUAUGGGGCGAGCGUUGUCCGGAUUUAUUGGGCGUAAAGGGCCCGCAGGCGGUUCGCCAAGUUUGGGGUGACAGCUCCUGGCUUAACCAGGAGAGUGC
rnacentral:rRNA from 1 species